CCUACGGGUGGCAGCAGUGAGGAAUAUUGGUCAAUGGGCUUACGCCUGAACCAGCCAAGUCGCGUGAGGGAAGACUGCCCUAUGGGUUGUCAACCUCUUUUGUCAGGGAGCAACGCCGGCUACGUGUAGCCGGACUGAGAGUCCCUGAAGAAAAAGCAUCCGCUACUCCGUGCCAGCAGCCGCGGUAAUACGGAGGAUGCGAGCGUUAUCCGGAUUUAUUGGGUUUAAAGGGUGCGUAGGCGGAAUGCCAAGUCAGCGGUAAAAUCGCGGUGCUCAACCUCGCUCCGCCGUUGAAACUGGCGGUCUUGAGUGGGCGAGAAGUAUGCGGAAUGCGUGGUGUAGCGGUGAAAUGCAGAGAGAUCACGCAGAACUCCGAUUGCGAAGGCAGCAUACCGGCGCCCAACUGACGCUGAAGCACGAAAGCGUGGGUAUCGAACAGGAUUAGAGACACGAGUAGGC
rnacentral:rRNA from 1 species